AUUGAACGCUGGCGGCGUGCCUAACACAUGCAAGUCGAACGGCAGCACAGUCUAGCUUGCUAGACGGGUGGCGAGUGGCGAACGGGUGAGUAACGCGUAGGAAUAUACCUUGAAGUGGGGGACAACCUGGGGAAACUCAGGCUAAUACCGCGUAAUCGCUUCGGAGGGAAGCUGGGGACCGCAAGGCCUGGCGCUUUAAGAUUAGCCUGCGUCCGAUUAGCUAGUUGGUGGGGUAAAGGCCUACCAAGGCGACGAUCGGUAGCUGGUCUGAGAGGAUGAUCAGCCACACUGGGACUGAGACACGGCCCAGACUCCUACGGGAGGCAGCAGUGGGGAAUAUUGGACAAUGGGGGGAACCCUGAUCCAGCAAUGCCGCGUGUGUGAAGAAGGCCUGAGGGUUGUAAAGCACUUUCGGCGGGGAGGAGGAUAAGUUGGUUAAGAGCUGACUUAUUGGACGUUACCCGCAUAAGAAGCACCGGCUAACUCCGUGCCAGCAGCCGCGGUAACAC
rnacentral:rRNA from 1 species